UACAUUUGUCAACAAUGCUCUAUCAAUAUCUUCUCCUCAUGUUCUCUAUCAAUUACAACAUGUUUUGCUUUAUGAAUUAAAGCAUCAAAAACGAGAUCCUAUUGCAAUAUUGAAGAAUUUCAACCCAAGAUUUUUAAUCCACAUUAAACUAUAAUACAGUUACAAAAUUUUCAAAUUCAGCUUUGGUAAUCUCUGAAACAGCCUCUGCAAGUCUAUAACUUCAUAUCUAAAUCAAACUAAUCUAAAAAUUAAAAAGAAUUCACCAAACUAAACAAAAUUAGUCAAACCUUAGAACUUAAUCUUCAAACCCUAAAAUCACUAAGCAUAAUUUGAUAGUAGUGGCAGCAGAUAGGGAUGGCAAUGGGGUGGGGUGGGGGUGGGGAGGCCUACCCCAUUCCCCACCCCGUUAGAAAUUUUUGCCUCCAUUCCCCACCCCAUUCCCCAAUAAAUUUAGUGGGGUGGGGAUGGAGAAUCCCCAUGUGGGGAAUGAUUUCCCCAUCCCCACCCCAUUCCCCA
rnacentral:lncRNA from 1 species